rnacentral:rRNA from 1 species
UUCUCAAGCGUGAGGUAAGGGCAAUUGGUGGAUGCCUUGGCAUACACAGGCGAUGAAGGACGUGGCACGCUGCGAUAAGCUGUGGUGAGUUGUGAGCAAACUUUGACCCACAGAUUUCCGAAUGGGGAAACCCAUCCUCACUAUUAAAUCUCAACUGAGCCUGGUCUUCGGACUGGUCCUCAUUUGGGGUUUAAUAGGAAGGAUAUCACUUUGCUGAAUUCAUAGGCUUAGUGAAGCGAACCCGGGGAACUGAAACAUCUCAGUACCUGGAGGAAAAGACAUCAACCGAGAUUCCGUUAGUAGUGGCGAGCGAACGCGGACCAGGCCAGUGCCGAUAAGUUAGUUAGCAGAAGCUUUUGGGAAGAAGCGCCAGAGCGGGUGACAGCCCCGUAUGCGAAAACGAGCUUAUCGGACUUGAGUAGGGCGGGACACGUGUAAUCCUGUCUGAACAUCGGGGGACCACCCUCGAAGCCUAAAUACUCGUGUAUGACCGAUAGUGAACUAGUACCGUGAGGGAAAGGUGAAAAGCACCCCGAUGAGGGGAGUGAAACAGUACCUGAAACCGGUUGCCUACAAGCAGUGGGAGGAUCCUUGAGAUCUGACCGCGUACCUCUUGCAUAAUGGGUCAGUGACUUAAUGUAUCAAGCAAGCUUAAGCCGUUAGGUGUAGGCGCAGCGAAAGCGAGUCUGAAUAGGGCGAUUGAGUUUGAUGCAUUAGACCCGAAACCCGGCGAUCUAGACAUGACCAGGGUGAAGGUGCGGUAACACGCACUGGAGGCCCGAACCGAUUAACGUUGAAAAGUUACCGGAUGAGUUGUGUUUAGGGGUGAAAGGCCAAUCAAGCCGGGAAAUAGCUGGUUCUCCGCG